UGAGCUCAGGAGCUCAUGUGCUCUAUCUCAGGUGGGAGAGCCUUGGCUGGGCUGGGAGCUUCUGCCCUUUGUCCCCUGCAGUGGCAGUGGACUUUGGCAGUGGCGCCGGGGAGAGGAAGUGGGGCAACAGGACAUUGGAACUGUUGGAUCUGCUGCAUGGAGCCCUGGGCCUCUCCACGGCUGCCCCCAGUGCGGCACAGCCAUGCUGCUGGCAGUGAAGAAGGCCGCCAUGGGACCCCACUGCCCUGGAGGCCCAUCCUCCCUGGCCCCCUGCCUCGUCCUGGCUCCUGGGACCCUGGAAGGGACCUGCACCGGCCAGCAUCCCGGGCUGAGAGCUAUGAGAGCGGCCAUGCCUUCCGGGUCUAUUCCAGGCAAGGAUAUGAAGACCCCCACUGGCAAUACCCAGCAGCUGCCUACAGGGACAACCGUGCUUACCAAAGCCAUCAGUGGCAGCCCACGGCCUGGCAGGGUGACAGAGAUAUGACACAGGUUAAGCCUCACAGCAAGAGCACUGCUUACAGGGACCAGCACUACUACAGGGGCUACCACCCCAAUCUGGCUGCCAGCCCCCCUGGGCAGGAUAGGUCCCAAACCUAUGAUGCACGUAAAGGCUCCAGGCAUUCGUGGGCUGGGGUCCACAAUCUGGGGGAGGCCAGUGGCCAGCCUCAAGAGCCCAGCCUGCUCCAGCAGUACCGUGAGUCAGGACUCAGCUCCAGUGGCUAUGAGCUCAGCCAAUACAUCCGUGAUGGAGCUGAACCCAAUGACACUGCAUUUUCAGGGGGCUGGAGCCCUGUGCAAAAAGGAGGGACCUUGGAGUCAGCUGUGGUGGCACCCCACAAAUUCCUGCAGCCACAUGUGCCUGUAUGUUUGGGAGCUGGAGGGCAACUGGUGCUGGUGUGUCCCCACCGCCCAGCUGAGGGGCAGCUCCCCCUGGUUGAGCUGCACAGCCUGGAGGUAAUCCUUCAAGGCACAACAGAUCAGGAGGAGCUUCAAGCCUUCCCAGGGCCCCUAGCCAGGGAAGAUCUGCACAAAGUAGAUGUGGUGACAUUUUGCCAGCAAAAGAUAGCCUCAAGCUGUGAUCUCUCAACACAGAGAGGCAGAGAUUCAGCUCUUCUCUGGAAGCUCCUGGUCCUCCUCUGCCGACAGAAUGGGUCCAUGGUGGGCUCAGACGUGGCGGAGCUGCUGAUGCAGGACUGCAGGCAGCAGGAGAGGUACAAGAGGCAGGAGCCGGCAUUGGGCCCCAUCAGCCUGGCAGAUGAGGAGUGGCGUCAGCUGGGGACACUGGACCUCAUCACUGGGGAAGUCCCUCCUGUGGUAGAGACACAGGCACAGAUAGUGGAGAAGUUCACCAAGCUCCUCUACUAUGGCAGAAAGAAAGAUGCACUGGUUUGGGCCAUGAGAAACCAGCUGUGGGGCCAUGCUCUCUUCUUGUCCAGCAAGAUGGACCCUCGGACCUACAGUUGGGUGCUCACUGGGUUCACCAGCACGCUGGCCACCAAUGACCCAUUGCAGACAUUCUUCCAGCUCAUGUCAGGAAGGAUCCCGCAGGCAUCGCAGAGCUGUGGGGAUGCCAAGUGGGGAGACUGGAGACCCCACCUGGCCGUGCUUCUGUCCAACAAGGUGGGAGACAUGGAGCUGAACCACCGGGCCAUCAUCACCAUGGGAGACACGUUGGCUGGCAAGGGAGCAGUGGAGGCAGCUCACUUCUGCUAUCUGAUGGCAGACAUUCCAUUUGGUUACUUUGGGGUGAAGGCAGACCGCAUGGCUCUACUGGGCAGCAGCCACCGCCAGGCAUUCACCCAGUUUGCCACCACCGAGGCCAUCCAGCGCAUGGAGAUCUUUGAGUACUGCCAGCAGCUGCGACACCCCACAUCUUUCCUGCUCCCAUUCCAGGUGUACAAGCUCCUCUACGCCUCCCGCCUGGCUGACCAUGGACUGCCAGCCCAAGCCCUGCUGUACUGUGAGCAGAUUGCCACCAUGCUCCUCCAGCAGGACCCAACCAGCCACCCUGUACUGGCCCAGCAGCUGGCCAAGCUGGCCGAGCGACUGAAGCUCUGUGACCCACUGCUGCUGGAGAUGCCUGAGCAGGACCCGGCGCUAGAGCCUGAGUGGCUGCUGCGGCUCCGCACCCACUGCCAGCACUGCGAGGUGCAGGAUGACCUCACUCCAGAGGUGGAACCAACCCAGCCAGAGCCCUGGGAUACUGCAGCCACCCCAGGCAGAGAGAUGGACUAUGAGCAGCCCCAGAUAGAUGACCCCCAGCAUGAGCAGUGGCACCAGCCCCCUGUGCCACCACAGGGACCUGAUCCCCACCAGGAUGUGUCCAUCCAGCCCCUGGAGGUUGCAGUGUUGGACACGGGGCUGAUCUCCCAGGAAGAGCUUUGCACUGAUCCCCCUCCGCAGGCAGUGCCCAUAGCAGGUGAUGCUGAGGAGCCCCAGGAUGCCCAUGGGGUGCAGCAGCCGGUGCUGGCAGAGCCGCAGGAAUUAAGCACAAAGGCUCGCUCGGCCUCAGAGAGUUCCACAGCAUCCAUAGAGGAAGGCAGCCAGACGUCCUCAGAUAGCACUGCUGAGGAGCUGGAGGGGACGUCGGAGGACAAGCUGUCUUUGCCAGAGCUCUGGAUUCCGGUGGUUCGGCUGGUUUCGGUCCAAGCCCCAGAAGGAAACCUCUCCCAAAGCCACGACCUCGGGCUCCCCCACGGCAGGACUGCAGGAUCGGAGCUCCCCAUCCCCACCCGGUGCUGUCCCAGCUGCUCAGCCCCCAGCAGCCCCGUCUCCAUACAGAAAUCCCGUGUCAAUCGACAUGAAGGGCCCGUGGGAUGCAGACGGCCACGAGCCGCUCCCAGGGACGGUUCCGCUUUUCAACCCCGCUCAUGUUUCCCAGCUCGCUGCUGCCCGGCCCACCCAACCCAGGCUGCUCUCACAGCGCCGCUACCCCAACCCGCUGUGAGUCGGUGUGUGUGUAUGUACAUGUAACGCUCAGAGGAAACAACAGCACUUUGUGGAACGCUUUAAUGCAAAAUGGUGUUGGCUUUUUUGUCGUUCUAAGCGGUGGAGGUGGGGAGGAGGCACAGGGUGUGCUGUGCUGGGGAUCCUUUGGUGUUGGAACCCCAAGGCAUGAAAAAGUUGUCCGGCGGAGAGUAGUCUGAAUUAGGUUGUGCGGCAUUGCCCCACCUCACCCAUUGGACUCAAUGCGCCGGCCGUGAGUCUGUCUCAAAGCUCCGCGGGGCCACGAGCAUCCGCCCCGGCUCAGCACUGAGCUCCGAACCGUUCCGGGCUUCUCCUGCCCAGGCCGGCCCGCGCGGCGCCCCCCCUUGCUGGUGGCUCACCCACCCGUGCGGGCGGGGCUCUGCUGGAGCCGCUGCGGGCCCUUCCCUCAGACCUUCCCCGAGGCGGGGACAGCGGGUGAUGGGCACCCAGUGCGUGGCCUCGACGGUGAGCUUCCUCCGGACGCUCCAUAUACCUCCCCAACUAGAUAUAUAUACCUUUAAUUUUUCGCAUACUUUAAGGUUAGGGUGAGUUACCCAGCAUGCUCUGCGGUAUAUGGUAAUGAGGGCUCCAUAAGCAUCGCGGAAUUCUAUUAGGGCUCUCCUUGAGCUCUGGGCACAGCACACCAACUAUCGCAGCCCCUCUGCAUCACAGUGGUACCUAUGCUGCUCUUGGAGAUCUUAUGUGCUGAAUCAUCUCAAGGCUGUGAAUUACUGUUGGAGAGAUGGAAAAAAAUCUUCAGAGUUAGAAGCCUCUGACAGCAUAGGGUAAAAGCAUCACCUUUCUUGUGUUUGUCAUGAGCAGAGAUGGUAUCUGGUGGUGAGAUGAAGAGGAGUUGCGUGCUGGCUGGUGUUAAUUACAAAGAGAAAAACACAUGAAAAUCAAGGGAAAUUGAAUCCCACUGCAUCUGCUAUUCCCACAGUGGAAGGCCUCAGUGCAUCUCAUUAGUUUAAAACCCCCCUGAUGGGGAGAGCUCAGCUUGCAACAGGAGAUUGAUGUGACAUUGAGACCCAGGGAGAGGAUUAGCUGCCCGCAUGUGAACUUGUCCAAAGGAGUUUAACAUGUAAAUGUUCCAGCAGUGUGGCUCCCACUGAGAAGGCAUGCCCGUUAAUUAAGGCCCCCGGGACCAUGUGGUUGCAAUGAGGGAGGAAUGAGCUCUGUGCAUGCAGAAAGGCAUGCUGCUUUUUUCUCUAUGGUAGAGCCCAUCAGACUGAAAGCUUUGUGCAGGUGGGGCAGCUCUGCUGGUCACUGGGGUGAUUUGCUGUAGGUCAAGGUGAGCACUGUGGGUGUUGGGUUGGGAUUGCACCUAAUGGUCAUGCAAGAGGGGUUGGGAUCCUCCUCCAUCCUUUGCAUUGCAUCUGUACUUCUUACCUGCUUGCUCUCAUAGCCCUGCUUACAUCAAACAGACCUUUGUGGGUAGAGAGGCUCCAGGAGGGGAGCCUGCAUCCUGCUGCAGUGCCUUGCGGCUUCUGUGUGAGGAUGAACCAGAUUAAGAUGCAGCAGCCUGGAAAAGAUGGAGUGAGUAGGGCUGAUGAGAGACCUAUUCAGUCCUAAUCACCUUCUCAGCACUGCUUAGGAAGCAAUGGCUUCUUGUUUCCUGCAGUGCAAGGAGCUGGGGCUUCCUGCUGAAAGCUUCAGCCCCCACGUGGGUUUGGAGCAAUGCAGGUUUGAACUGAACUGCAUUACAGAGCUAUGUGUGUUUGGGGGGAGUAAGCCAGAUGUGGCAGCUUGUUGUCCUGGGAUGUGAGACCAGAAAUAUUAUGAGCCUUUAAAAGGGAGUUAGGCAAUGUCAUGGCAGGUAACUCCUGUCAGCAGACCUGAACGCAGCCCCAAUGGGCUGGAUGGCCCAAUGCUCUGUAGGAAGACCCUGUUUAUGGGAGGCUGUCAUGCAAACAUCCCUCUCAGCUCAAGCAGAAGGAAUGUUCCUCGGUGCAGCCGCUUACAUUUCUCCUUGUACCCACGCCUGCCUUGCAGAAGUUGCAGCUGCACGUGGGUUGCUUGGUGACAGUUCUUCUGGGCAGGGCAGGGAAUUAAACAGUAAGUAGGAUUAAUAAAAACGUAUCAAAAUAUGUAAACAUAUGCAUCAAGUCUCUUUGAAAACGAAGGAGCGGUUAAUAAGUAUUUGCAAUCAACACUUCUACGUGGAAGCCUUCUCUGAAAGCAGCUCUGAGACCGCUCAAACAACCCAUCUCUUUCCAUCAUUUUAACUGCCUGUUUUCUCGAGGCAGAUGAAAUGAUUUGCCUGAAGAGCUGUCUCCCCAUCUCCCCACCUAUGACAGGCUCCUUUUUCCUAAGCCCUGGCCUGGUGUCUGGCUCCUGGCUGUGUCCUGAGAUGGCUCCUGGGCCUGGUGGUGCCUGGGUUCAUAGUGUUUGCAGCAUCAUUUGAGUUGAAAGGGACCUUUAAAGGCCACCUGGUCCCACUCCUUGCACUGAACAGGGACACUCACAGCUCCAUCAGUGCUUACAGCCCAUCCAGCCUCAUCUUGAUGUCUGCACCAGAACCACUCUGUUCCAGUGUCUCACCGCCCUGAGUUCCUGCUCUGCUGGGCAGCCACGGGUCACAGUGAGUAGCUGGGUCAUACCUUCGAUUUAUUUCCAUGGAAACUACAGUAGAUAUGAAGAACACAACAACAUGUAAUGGGAUAUUGGUGGAAAGCUUCAACCUCUACUGCUGUAGCACUACGAUCUGCCUCUGACAUUGUGGGCUGGCAUAGUAAAAUAGAAGGCAUCACUUUUGGAGCAGACAUUGUGUACAAGCUUGUUGUUCUCUGGGUUAUGGGCCCUGAAGCACUGCAUCCAGGACACGUUGGCACCAUCUAGAUAUGGAUGACUAUAGGCUAAGGUAGGAUGGCAGGUGAUGAAUGAAAGGUUCUGUUUCUGGUGCUUAAUCCUCCAUGAUUCCUGCAGGGAUUUUAGUGCUUGGGUGGUGAUACUAUUUUGCUUUUUCCCAAGGCUACAGGAGCUGAAAACCACACAGCUUAUGGUGCUCCCCUGGUCCCUGCAGUUGUCCCCUGCCCCUCUCUCUGAGGAUGCAUUUGGACUCUGCUUUGUGGGGUAACGGAUGGACUGUCAGGCACAUUGUCCCAACAACUCAGCAAGAUAAAUGGUCCAGUGUGUGCAGCAACCUUUGCCAGUCCUGCACCCCAGAAGGAAGCAAGCAGCACCAUGACAGAUGGGCUGACAAGCAGCACUGACACAACUGGGGCAGCGUGGGUGUCGGAGGGUUAGAACCACAUCCCUCUCUUUUCCUCUUUGCACCCCAGCACCUCUGGGCCAAACAGCUGUUGCUUAUCACCACCUCCCAUGGUUAUUGAUGGAAGCUGGCAGCAUGAGACCCCUCUCUAGGAGAAAAACACUAGUCACAGUCCUAACGUUGCUCUGCAAAGCUGCCAUCUGUGCUCUCCAUGGAUGCUGGUAAGAUAUCUGAGUGCAUCAGUGCUAAGUUCCUGACUAGACUUGACUCUGCUUCUCUAUAUUCCUUUCCAGAAGGGAAGAUCCUAGGCUGGCUCUUUGGGAUCUGGUUCCUGGGCUGUCCCUUCAUUUUCUGUCCUGCUGAGGAGCAGCAGAAGAAAGCGGAACGGGCCCAUUUCUCAAGAGGGAGGGGAGUGAGCGUGUGCGUACGCGUGCCUGCACAUGGAUUUCGUAUGGACAUAUGUUCCAGCAUUUGAAGAGCUGCGUGUUGUAGGAUUUCUGUUGUCCCUGCUUUUAUGAUCUCAACCCAUCCCGUAGAUGAAUGGAAAAACUGAUCUGGCAUACAUCUUCUUUCCCAAAGUUUGAAGCCUCAAGUCCGUGCCAUCUCAACCUCGGAGACCCAGAGCCAUCUGGGAUGCCCCAGCAGGCUGCUCCAGCCUUGAGCCUGUCACCCUGCGUUUAAACAACCCCCCUCACUCUACUUCAAGUUCCUGUCUUAUUUUUCUUACAAAAAGACCGAAAUACAAAAAUAAAGCUUUCUGUGUUUGCUUUCCCCAGCCCUCCCUCCUACUGCAUGGUGCUCAUUAGCUCCCCGAAUGCUCUAGUCAGACGUGGCCUCUGGUUAAAAACAGCAACCGCCCUCGUGCCUUGCCUGUUUCCCAGGAGCUGGCAGCCAGACAAUAACACCGAUGGGAUCGUCUUCAUCAGAACAUGUCAGCCCCUCCGUGAAAUUGAAGUAACUUCAACUUGGAGGCAGAAAAAAAAUGAUAAAGAAAAAAAUAAGUGCUAGGAAGAAAAAGCAGAGAGAUCAGAGCUGCUGUAGGAGCUGCCCGUGCUGGGACAGCGGGUGCAAGCAGGUAGGAGCUGCUGCUCCUGGAGCAGAGGUGACGCAAGUUGUGCUGCUGAUUUGUUUUGUGUUUUGCUGGAAGAGCUGACCCUGCCUUUCUGAACCUCUUGGAUAUCUGGAGGCAAAAGUGCUCAGUGAGAGUGAGGUGUUAAAUUAUUCCACUGAAAACAAAAGCCUCAUCCAAGCGUUGCUCUGAAAUCGCUGCCUUCGGCCACGUGACUGCGUGUGGCUGAAGAGCUCUGUUAGGCAGAUGGAAAUGUUGCCUCCUUCCAUGAUAUUGAAGAGCUAUGGGAGUUUUUGGAGGUGCUUAAUGCAAAGUCUGCUCCAGGAAAGCCUUCUUCAUGGUGUCAUCUGGCUGUGGGUUCACCCUGGUGGGAUGCUGGUGUCUGUGUGGUGUGAAGGGCACAGCCUGAGAAGAGGGGUGGGCUGGUGUUGUGUUCCAUGGCCCCAGAGCUUAGGAUGUGUAAUGCCCUCACAGAUCCCUUUCUGUGAUCUAUACAUUAGUCUUGUAUAGUUACCAUAGCUCUAAAGACUGUGGUGGAGCUGAAAUGGCUGCCAGCAACAGAUGAGGGGAUGGGCAGCUGUCUGAGCCCAUUACACUGAAGUUCAGGGCUGAGACAGUGCUGAGUCGUGGCCAUCUCCAGCUGAAGAAGUCAGGCAGAGCUUGUCAUUUUCUGCUUUUCUGCCUCUGUAAACCUGGAAGGUGCUGGAAGAUGCUGCAGUAGGGAAGAUGAGCAGGCAUGAGGGUUGCUUUUUCUGCACGCUCUCACGUCGCUUCAUCCUCUGCUUGUUUGCUUGCUGUUGUUGUGGCUGUGGUGUUUUUUUUUUAUCCCUUCCCCUGACUUCAUUUAUAACAUGAAAAGUUAUUUAGCCUGAAAGUGCGCGGGAGCUCAUUGUGCAGGGAGCUGCAGCACAAAGGGUUCCAGAAGCAAUCGUGUUUCCUCUCACCAGCGCAAGCCGCGCCACCAGAUGAUUCAGAAGCACAACAUCUGCAAGUCUUGAAAGGAGUUCUGCUCCAUUUGACUGAGAGCAAGGAAAAGGAGGAGGGAGGAGGGGGAUGGAGAAGCUCCUUCGGUGCCUGGUGUUGGGGGUGCGGCUGUUUGCUGUGUCACCUCUGCAUCCCACCCUUGCCAUGCCCACGGGUGCCUGAUUUUGGGGCGGAGGGGUGAGCAACCCAUGGGCUGCUGACCAUUCAUUCAUUCUCUUUGGCCUUGGGAACCCAAGCACGUCCAAGCCCAUGGGCCAACGUCCCUUGGGAUGUUUUGGGUUUGUGUGUGCAUUUCCUCGCUCCUUGGGUGCGUGCUGUUGGAAUGGAGCACUGCACCAAGUGGGAGAGGAGGAGGCGUUUGAGAAAAUGGCAGGGACAAACAGCUUUAAAAAAAGGCUUAUUUUUGGAGUGCCGUUUCUUGUAACCUUUAGCGUCUCCGCUUUGCUUCCCUUCACAGCCUCCUGCUUUGAUUUCCCGUUCACAGUUGUUAUUCUGGCAGCCCCUGGAAGAAAGGAGGGUGUGAGGGUUAAAGAACAGCUGCGGGAAAGUAAUUAAUGCUUUGCAACUGUUCUGAAGGCCUUUAGCACCUUGCCGUGACCCAGCCAGUAACAUCUGUGUGUUGGCAGCAGCCAAGCUGUAAAAUUUCCCCCCUCCAAGUCCCACACAAAGCAACUGUCAUCUGCCUGAGGUGUGUAAUCAGGGCACAAACUUAACAAAUUGGUAGAAAGGCUGCAGUGCAGAUGGCAGCUCCUUGAGUGCUGGGGUUGGCUGUGGUCAGGGGCUCCCAGCUGCUGGUUCGUGUAUGUGUCCAAGGCAGGAGGUGGAAGAGCUUCUCACUUGGGAUCUGAUGGCUGAGAUGGGACGUAUCCGACUCUGAGAGCAGCACCAGCCCCUUCGCUCACUCCAGUUGAAUGGGUCUGGGCAGAAAGAAGUGCCCACAGUGCCCAAAACUGUUGGGAUGACUUCAGCACAGCUGUCCCCAACCCCACAGGAUGCUCAGUGCGUCACUGUUUGGGUCUUGUUUCAUCAGGGUAUGCCUUUUGCAGUGCUAUUCCUAUUUUAUGGCUAAAGGGCACCUUCAGGGCCUGCCACCCUCAUUUUUAUGUAAGCCGUAAUUCAGAGUAAAGGAGGCACGAAAGUGCCUCCAAUUCUCAGGAGCUCCAGCUGGAGUUUUCCUUUCAGUCCCAGAACGUGAGGCACAGCUGGCGCUACCUUGGUGACCAAAGAGAAGAUGAACGCAAACACUUUCUGUUUUUAAAGACUGGCUUUUUCUUCUGCCCUAUCUCCAUUCCACCCCCUCCCAGCCCCCGCUUCUCCACAGCCAGCCCCCUGAGCUCCCAGCCUUCAAAGCCCAUUGUGCACAGCUGGAGGGGACUGAGCCUGCCAAGGGCAAGCGCUCGUCCUUUGCUCUUUUGGGUUUUCUGAGAGGCCCGUGACUGUGCUGAAUGCCAAGCAGCCCUGACCUUCACCCAACUGGGGCUCCCAGCUGCUACGGUGUUCUACAGCAUCCCUACCUGAUAGGAAUUCAGCCUGGUGCCUCCUACCUGCAAGUUUUAUCUGACAAAUGGGUCUCAUUUCUGAUUCUAGUCUCCUUUUGAUGGACCAGACUGUCUGCUACCUGGGAGAGGUUCAUAGAUCUGAAAAGCCGGAAGGAAGCAUUACAUUUCUUCUCCUUUGCCUCCUAUUAAGAAUGUGCCAGGGACACUAAUCCCACAUUUGAAUUUCAGCCAGGUAGCUGGAAGGGAUGGCUCAGCACCCUGCUCUGAUGGACUACCCAGCACCGCCUCUCUUCGCGCCUUCCCGCGCUUCUCUUGCCUUUGGGCAGGAUGGGAGGGGUCACUGGUGAGAGGAGCUUCCUCUAAAGCAAUCUCUUUCUUCACAAGUCAGUUGAGGAUGUUUUUUCUGCAUUUCUGAUGACAUUUCUUCCCUUCAGAAGAAAAUGUGGUUGGUUUUGCAAUUGGCUCAUUCCUGGUAAUGAAAGCAGUGGGGCGACAGGGGGACGGCAGCAGGGGAAUUAGGGCCCACAUUCUGACAGCAGUAUGUGAUAACAUCUCAGACACUUUCAUUUAUGUAGCUUAAGCUAUGUGGGUGGGUGAGACAUGAUGUCCCCAUUGUGGACCCCCUUGCAAGCUGUAUGGCCUCUCAGCAUCUCGGGCACCUAAGUGCACCCCUGCUAUAGUGAUGAGCAUGUGUCUGACUCCAUAUCAGCUGUUACACUGCUCUCCUCUGAAGAGGAAUAUGGAUUACUGACCUGCUGCGAUGCAGCUUGGCUGCGCCUACGUUCCUCAUCCAGAAUUAUUUUUUCUUUGGUUGACAUUUACAAGUAGGUGUCCUUUUAUUUUCUUCAUUUUUAUUCCUGGUAGUCAUGUCUUAGAGUCCUAAUUCCUGAGCAGCUCCUCUUGCUGGAUGCAGUUUUGUGCAGCCCUACAAACAGUUCAUCUCAGGGGACUGGAGGAAGCAAAAGGACGUGACUUUGGUGGAGGUGUUGAAAUACAAAUAGAUUUCUCUCAUGCUCAGUGCAGUUUCAGGCAUGUCCAAGUCCUGCUGGUUGGAAAACAGUUAGCAGGUUGGUGCAGGCUGCAUGGCAAUGAGAAGAUGAGAGCCUAAGCAUGGAAGGAAGGCUGAGCUGGCUCUGAAUGUUGGAGAAAUGGGAUGCAGGGGAGAACAGGGCGGUGGACAAGUAAGUUACACGAAGCAGAUUGCCGUGGCUUCUUUUCUUGCUCUUAUCCCCCUCAACUCCAACACAGUGAUUUUUAGGAGACAAUGAGUGCCAAGACUAUAUAUGGAGCAGCCUCAAACUCCCAAAUGUUCUGUGAGGCAACUGCUCUUUUCUCUCAAGACUAUUCUGUGCACAUGGCACUUGUCCUGGGCAAAUUCUUGUGCGCUCAUUUGAUGAUGGAGGCCUUCGAAUCUCUAUGCUUGAAGGAGACAGUUUCACAUCCCCACCACAAUUUCUUUUCAUAUGGAAAACCCCCACGUUUGCAGGCAGCUCUCUUGAAUCAAGGCAGCAUUACGUCCUUCCUAUUAGCAGGGCUUCCAGAGGCUUUGCAGCUCCUGCUGACGUGAGCAGAGCUGCUCAGCAAACAAGAUGCGAGAGGUCUCCAAAGAGCACAGCCCUCUAUUUGCUUUUUGCUAAUCGGGUGCUGUAGUGCCUGGAGAAAUACAUCAGUAAGGGCCCAUCUGCUGAGUGCUGGAUGGGGUUGUGUGCAUGCUUGUUGGCAUGGAAGAGAAGAUGGAGAUGUGGCACUGAGGGACACGGUCCAUGGGCAUGAUGGGAGUGGGUUGAUGGUUGGACUUGGGGAUCUUAGUGGUCUUGGGGAUCUUAGUGGUCUUUUCCAGUGUUAAUGAUACUGUGAUUCUAUGCUCAUGCUGGAGAAAGGAGGUGCCAUCCAGCUGUGUUCCAGCUGUCACCUGGUGGUCAGAUACGUUGUGUUACCUGCAGGUGGGAGGAGGGAGAGCCAGGGUUAUGGGAUAAUACCGAACAGAGCAAUCAAGUAAUUUAAUUCUUAAAUCUCACCUCCCUCAGGCUGAUCUCCUCUGAGCCACUCUUUGCUCAGGUCAACUGCUUUUAAUUAGCAAGCUUCAUUGAUCGGGGUGGGAGUGGGAGCUGCUGUCCAGACCUUUUUAACAUGGAAGCUUUUAUUUCUUGCAGGAGGGAUGGUGCUACUUGCAGAGGGAUCUGUAGGGACACUGUGGGACUGCUGACAGAAGGAUGGUAUGGGGCUGCCCACAGCACAUCUCCUCCUGGCACUGCCCGGGCAGGGAACCUUGCAGUCCAGCACAACCCAGCUCCCACCACCUCAUCAGCCUCUUGCAGCAGCUCACUCGGAGCUGUUGCUAAUGAGGAUGGUGCUCAUCAUGUGAUCGAGCCUUUGGGCAAGGGCGGUGGAGCUGCUAAUUGGCUUCUCUGGCUGUGGUUUCCUUAGGAAACAAGGUUAAAGCAACUCACAGCUCAAAAAUGUACCUCCUGGAUGAAGGCACUUCAUCGCUCCUUCCCCUGUAAAAGGAAACAACUCUAUAGCCGAUGCCAGCCCCUUUCUAUCACCAGGUGGAACCAAAGGAUGUGGGUGCACCUCUGCUAUGUUCUCAUGGUGUGUCUGUGGCCCAGCCUUGGAUCAACAUAUUUUCUAUCUUAUAUAUUUGAUCCACAGAGCUAUGAAAAUUCUGAAAUGAAGUUAUCCUGGAUAAAUCAAAUAGAAAGGAAGUGGCUUUGUAUCAAACCACAGGAUUAAUAUAAUUAUCGCAUCGAUUAAAUCAUCAAACAAACCUGCAGCUCCUCUAUCACUUUCGGUGUGCCUGGUUCUUGCUCCCUGAAGCACGGACCUCCAUGCCAACCACUCCCUUUAUAUUCCAGGCAGAGAGCUGCUCCUCACCAGGGCUGCUGUGAUCUCUGGCCACAUCUCACACACAGAGCAGGGCUCCAAUGCCCAUUACAGCUGUCAGCCAAAAUUAUAUGUAUUUGAGGAAGAGGUGAUCUCUCACAUACCCGCUCCAAUGUGACUCACUGAGCCUGAGCUGGCAUUACACAGCUUGAUGGAUUCCAAAUUACAGAAGGAAAGUGCUGGCGAGUCAUGGCCUUGUUGGGGCUGAAUGUGGCAUGGGGGGCACGUGCACCUCUCCUGUGUGGAGCUGGGGAUGGGCAAGACGUGAUGGUCUCAAGUUGUGCCAGGGGAGGUUCAGGUUGAGUAUUAGGAACCAUUUAUUCUCCAAAAUAGUGGUGAUGCAGUGAAACAGCUGCCCAGGGAGGUGG